rnacentral:lncRNA from 12 species
AGCGACACCUCCCGGGGAAGAUGAGGGAAUGCUAAACCACACAGGAGACGAGAGUGUUCCACGGAAGGCUGACGUAUGAAUGGGGAUGUAACUUGGAAUAAAAACUGUAACUCACAGGCCAGAAGCUCCCGUGGUGCGAUCAGUCCCACACUGCAGUUGCGGCACCCUGGAAGUCACAUCAGGAGCAGUUAUUUUUUUGAUCCACUGAAAUAAUUCACCUUUUGCAGGGACCAGAAGUUUUCCUGGGCUGACCGUGGAAGAGGAGAGCCGGGCAGCUGACAGUCCAGCGCUGGGAAGCGUUAGUGCCGACAGAGGGGCUGGCCUAAGCCAACAGAAGGUCACUCUCGAUCUCACUUUCCUGAAUCCCUUCUUUCUAUCCAAGGGUCCCAUACACAUCCUCCCCCCUCUCCCCCCACGUCCAGAGCUUCUCUCCUCUCUCAUUUCUCUAAACCCAAAUCUACUCCCAGGGAAGAAUCUGAUAAAUUCAUUCGCAUCAUAACGUGAACAAACUCUUCCCAAGAGUAUAUGUAUUUUGAAGACCUAAGGUGAGAAUAGUGGGUCUCUGUGCAAUUUCAGAUGUCAGGGAAAUCAGGUAAGAGGGGUGCGACCCGCUCUGAGGGGACAGGGGAUGGUGCACAAUGGGCGGGAAGGCUAGGGUGAGAGCAGGACAGGCAUUUUCGAGAGGAAGACAGCUCCCAGCCAGGGCUCCAGGGGCAGAUGGAGGUGACCGUGGGAGCUAAGGAGGCAAAGAGCAGGAAACCUUGAACUCAAAACUCGUGUGGGAAGUUACCUGCUUUUUCCUUCAAGUGAGAGAUUCAAGGGAAGAA